rnacentral:sRNA from 1 species
CGCGAUAUCGAAGCCGAGUGAUGGUAGAC